CCACUUUUGUCUAAAAUAUAUUGAUCAAAGGUGCAUCAUCAGUAGGUUGAUGCAAACGUGUUCAGGAUGAUUUACGUGAAAUAGAAAACAGGUGAAAACAGGCACACAAAAACAGCCUGAUCGGCCAUGUACUCAGCAGGGCAAAUGAUUAACUUUGGCAUGCUUCUUGGCAGUGCAAGGGGCUGCCCUCCUGGUCCCCGAAACCAGGCCAGAGACAGGACAGAGUCUAUCUCCACCAUGAUUCUUGCAAAGAUGUCAGAUUUUCUAUGUCUGCAAUAGCACUUAUUUGAGGACAAAGAAAAAUCUUGGCUCUCCAGCUACUCAAGUUUUAAGUUUCUAAUUUUAAAAUUAGAAAGCUCUGGCUGGUUGUGGUGGCUCACAUCCGUAAUCCCAGCAGUUUGGGAGGCUGAGGUGGGAGAAUCCCUUGAAGCCAGGAGUUGGAGCCCCGCCUGGGCAACAAAGCAAAACCCUCAUCUCUAUGCAAAAAUUAAAAAACAAAUUUUGGGCCGGGUGUGGUGGCUGACACCUGUAAUCCCAGCACUUUGGGAGGCCGAGGUGGGCAGAUCAUGAAGCCAGGAGUUCAAGACCAGCCUGGCCAACAUGGUGAAACCCUGUCUCUACUAAAAAUACAAAAAUUACCUGGACAUGGUAAUGUGCUUCUGUAGUCCCAGCUAUUUGGGAGGCUGAGGCAGGAAGAUUGCUGAGGCAGGAGUUGAAGGCUGAAGUGAGGUAUGGUCCUGCCACUGCACUCUAGCCUGGGCAACUGAGCAAGACCCCUGUCUCUAAAAAAACAAAACAAAAGAAAAACAACAAAUAAAAUAUAGUAACUUCUAUUGUAUUAGGGACUGCCAUCUUGCUGGUGUUUCCUUAACUGUAUUAGAGUGUCCGGUCUGCCUCUGAUUUGGGAGAUCAACCCCCUUCCUGAUAUUGGCUUCCCAUCUCUUAGGGCCAGAAAGUAGUCAUCUUUGAAUGCAGUGAUUAAUUCAUUUAAUGACCUUAAAGUUACAGCCCUUGGUGGUGGUGGUGGUGUUUUUGAGACAGAGUCUUGCUCUGUGGCAAGGCGCCAGGCUGGAGUGCGGUGAUGCAAUUUCAGCUCACUGCAGUCUCCACCUCCUGGGUUCAAGCCAUUCUCCUGCCUCAGCCUCCUGAGUAUCUGGGACUACAGGCGUGCGCCACCACACCCAGCUAAUUUUUGUAUUUUUUAGUAGAGAUGGGGUUUCACCGUGUUGGGUAGGAUGGUCUCAAUCUCUUGAGCUUGUGAUCUGCCCACCUCAGUCUCCCAAAGUACUGAGAUUACAGGUGUGAGCCACCUCACCCGGCCUGGUUUUUUUGUUUUGUUUUGUUUUAAAUGUUCUUUCUUUUUUUUUUUUUUUUUUGAGACAGGGUCUCUCUGUGUCACCCAUAAUAUGGAGUGCAGUGGCAUAAUCAAGGCUCACUGCAGCCUCAACCUCCUGGGCCCACAUGAUCCUCCUACCUCAGCCUCCUGAGUAGCUAGGAUCACAGGCACAUGCCAUCAUGCCCAGCUAAUUUGUGUGUCUUUUGUAGAGAUGAGAUUUUACUAUGUUGCCCAGGCUGGUCUUGAACUCCUGAGCUCAAGCCAUCUGCCAGCCUUGGCUUCUCAAAGCUCUCGGAUUACAGGUGUGAACCACUAUGCUUGGUCAAGUAUUUUAACUCAUAAGUUUAAGCAAUAGAAUGAAUGUAUAGUCAUAUUGUACAACAAUAUGAUGAAUAUCUGGUUCUAAAUAAGCAUACCAGCAAAUUGGUUACUGAAGACUUAAAAGAGUUUGAAACUUUCAGUUAAUUUUGAAAAAGGGCUUCUGUAUCUUGAGCUUUCUUGUAUAUAUUGUAUAUGCACAAAAGAAAGCUCAAGAUGCAUUAUCUGUGUGUAUGUGUGCAUACUAUACAUCAGCUCGCAAACAGCAGAGCAACCAAAACCCUCACACUUGGGUCAUGGAGGACUGUGAAAGGAAUCAGGGAACGAAUUAGGUAAUGAAUUCAUGUAUUUUUAAAAAAUAGGGCUAUUUAGUCAUGCUUCAUAUCACUAUUAUUUAUUUAUUUGUUUAUUUUUCUAGAGACAGGGUCUCACCACGCUGCCCAGACUGGUCUCAGAUUCCUGGCUUCAGGUGAUCCUCCCGCCUCAACUUUGCAGUGUUGGGAUUACAGGCAGGAACCGCUGCCUCCAAAUUCACUCAUUUUUGAGAAUAAGAGCUAGGGGGAAUAAUGCGUUUAAAAACCUGCCUGAAUUUUCCAUCAUGAAGUCUAUAUUGACAUCUAAGGGGUAGCUCGGGACAGAGAAAAGAAACUCAGACCUAAUGAAUCUGUGGCAAAGGUUAACAGCAUUCCAUGCUGGAAAUGAUUAAAACAUCCUCCAGGAGGUAUGACCUGGAGUCUCCUCUCCACCCCACCAAGGGCUCCCACCCAGCUCAUGCUGACUCCAGUUGCCCUUGACCGCGUGGUUUCUGCUGGUCCAAGCAACAUUCUCCUGCCACAUCUAACCUCGGAGAGCAGGUGAGGCCCCAACAGACCUGAGCUUGUUAGAAAGCUGACUGCAUCGAGAUGCUGUGGAUUCUCAAAGGUCCUAUGGCUAUAGGAGAAAUAUCAGUAAGUUGGAAAACAUCAUCCUCAGCAAACUGACACAAGAACAGAAAAUGAAACACCGCAUAUUCUCACUCAUAGGUGGGUGAUGAAAAAUGAGAACACAUGGACACAGAAAGGGGAGUACUAAACACUGGGGUCUA